rnacentral:rRNA from 1 species
UACGGGGGGGGGCAAGCGUUUGUUCGGAAUUACUGGGCGUAAAGGGCUCGUAGGUGGCCAACUAAGUCAGACGUGAAAUCCCUCAGCUUAACUGGGGGAACUGCGUCUGAUACUGGAUGGCUUGAGUUUGGGAGAGGGAUGCGGAAUUCCAGGUGUAGCGGUGAAAUGCGUAGAUAUCAGGAGGAACACCGGUGGCGAAGGCGGGUCUCUGGGCCGAUACUGACGCUGAGGAGCGAAAGCGUGGGGAGCGAACAGG